AUGGCAUAGCUACGGUGAUCAGUACUGGAGAAUGUAUAGCAAUUGCUNAUGGUUUCUCGYUURAAGGGAACAAUAUCGKUGUGAUCURAGWAAAUUCUGGGUAAAAUUAUGWGUAUGACSUUGUUUACUMAKGAGUCUUGAYCAAGUUMCGUGSCAGCAGUCKCGGUAAUACGGWGAAGWCAAGUGUUAUUSAUCUUUAAUGGGUUUAAAGGGUACCURGACGGUGUAUUAAGCCUCAAAAGGAASUGAUAUACUAGAGKUACUUAUGAGGWAGUUCUAAAGUASUARAGGAGUAARSWUWAAAUUCAAUAAUACSUUUUUUUUAUAAAARACUUCGGCACAGGUWWWGGUGRAAACMUCUUCUUAWGGGAUAACUGACGUUGAGGGSGAAGGCUUUUAAUCGWGAACAGGAUUAGAGACCCUGGUAAUGGAAGCAGAAAACGCUGAGUGUCAUAGAUUAGAUAAAUAUUUACUCUAUAAAUGAAAGKGUAAGCMCUCCMCCUCAAGAGUAAUUUGGCAACAUUGGAACUGAAAUCAUUAGRCCGUAUUUGAAACCAGUAGUGAUGUAUGUUAUUUAAUUUGAUAAUCCGCAAAAAACCUUACCACAACUUGAAUGCCUAUAUAUUUAUUUUUAUUAUAUUUUUGUGUGUAGUUUUUUGUAUAACUUAAACUACACAUUAUACAAUAAUAUCAUAAGGUAAAAUCAUAGGUACAAGUGUUGCACGGCUGUCUACAGUUAAUGUCGUCAGACUAUGGUUAGUUCCAUUAAAUUAACGUAAACCCUUGCUCUAUUUUUAAAUAGAGUAGUUCUCCACUAUAUGGAUAAGAUAACAGGGAACAAUAC
rnacentral:rRNA from 1 species